rnacentral:rRNA from 1 species
CUUUUCUUGUAUAUAAAUAUGAAAUAUAACCUGCCCACUGAUUAGUUUUGAAGGGCCGCGGUAUUUUGACCGUGCAAAGGUAGCAUAAUCAUUAGUCUUUUAAUUGUGGACUUGUAUGAAUGGUUGGACGCCUGUUUCUUAUUAUUUUUUUUUUGAAUUUAAUUUUUGAGUUAGAAAGCUUAAAUUUAUUUAUGGGACGAGAAGACCCUAUAGAGUUUUAUAUAUUAUUUAUUUAUUUUGUUUGAUUAAAGAUUUAUUUAAUAUUUAAUUUAUUUUGUUGGGGUGAUAAGAAGAAUUAAUAAACUCUUUUUUGUAUUUAUACAUUUAUUUAUGAUAAGUUGAUCCAUUCUUGUUGAUUAAAAGAUUAAAUUACCUUAGGGAUAACAGCGUAAUCUUUUCUGAGAGUUCUUAUCGAUGAAUAGGUUUGCGA